UACGUAGGGCGCAAGCGUUGUCCGGAAUUAUUGGGCGUAAAGAGCUCGUAGGCGGUCUGUCGCGUCUGCUGUGAAAACUCGGGGCUUAACCCCGGGCCUGCAGUGGGUACGGGCAGACUAGAGUGCGGUAGGGGAGACUGGAAUUCCUGGUGUAGCGGUGAAAUGCGCAGAUAUCAGGAGGAACACCGGUGGCGAAGGCGGGUCUCUGGGCCGUAACUGACGCUGAGGCGCGAAAGCGUGGGGAGCAAACAGG
rnacentral:rRNA from 1 species